AUUGAACGCUGGCGGCAUGCUUUACACAUGCAAGUCGAACGGUAACAGGCCGCAAGGUGCUGACGAGUGGCGAACGGGUGAGUAAUGCAUCGGAACGUGCCCAGUCGUGGGGGAUAACGCAGCGAAAGCUGCGCUAAUACCGCAUACGAUCUGUGGAUGAAAGCGGGGGACCGUAAGGCCUCGCGCGAUUGGAGCGGCCGAUGUCAGAUUAGGUAGUUGGUGGGGUAAAGGCCCACCAAGCCGACGAUCUGUAGCUGGUCUGAGAGGACGACCAGCCACACGGGGACGGAGACACGGCCCAGACUCCUACGGGAGGCAGCAGUGGGGAAUUUUGGACAAUGGGCGCAAGCCUGCUCCAGCAAUGCCGCGUGCAGGAAGAAGGCCUUCGGGUUGUAAACUGCUUUUGUACGGAACGAAAAGGCUCUGGUUAAUACCUGGGGCUCAUGACGGUACCGUAGGAAUAAGCACCGGCUAACUACGUGCCAGCAGCCGCCGUAACAC
rnacentral:rRNA from 1 species